UACGUAGGGGGCUAGCGUUGUCCGGAAUCAUUGGGCGUAAAGCGCGUGUAGGCGGUCCGGUAAGUCCGCUGUGAAAGUCAGGGGCUCAACCCUCGGAUGCCGGUGGAUACUGUCGGGCUUGAGUACGGAAGAGGCGAGUGGAAUUCCUGGUGUAGCGGUGAAAUGCGCAGAUAUCAGGAGGAACACCAAUUGCGAAGGCAGCUCGCUGGGACGUUACUGACGCUGAGACGCGAAAGCGUGGGGAGCAAACAGG
rnacentral:rRNA from 1 species